GACGAACGCUGGCGGCGUGCUUAACACAUGCAAGUCGAACGGAAAGGCCCUGCUUUUGUGCGGUGCUCGAUUGGCGAACGGGUGAGUAACACGUGAGUAACCUGCCCUUGACUUUGGUAUAACUUCACGAAACUGGGGCUACUACCGUAUAGGAGCUCCUGCUCCAUGGUGAGGGUUGGAACGUUUCGGCGGGUGGGGAUGGACGGGCGGCUUAUCAGCUUGUUGGUUGGGUAGUGGCUUACCAAGGCUUUGACGGGUAGCCGGCCUGAGAGGGUGACCGGCCACAUUGGGACUGAGAUACGGAGCAGACUCCUACGGGAGGCAGCAGUCGGGAAUAUUGCACAAUGGGCGGAAGCCUGAGGCAGCAACGCCGCGUGCGGGAUGACGGCCUUCGGGUUGUAAACCGCUUUCGCCUGUGACGAAGCGUGAGUGACGGUAAUGGGUAAAGAAGCACCGGCUAACUACGUG
rnacentral:rRNA from 1 species